rnacentral:misc_RNA from 1 species
GUCUGUUAAAAAAGAGAGUCCAGGGAAUAAGCAUUUAUUUUAUUGAGAACGAGCAACUUAAUAACGACGACAGUUACAACUCUUAAUCCAAAUACUAAAUGGCAACUAAAUAAUUUAUGAAACUGCAGUCCAAACACAUAUUUGUACACAUAAAUAUAAAAAAAAACCACAAAUUCAGACAUACAGAAAGUAAAGUAACCAUUGAUUGGCUGCAGUAUCCUGCAGAAGAAAAAUGCCAAAUACUAGCCCAAAAAUAAGGUAUUGUAGAAGACCUACACCAACUAAUCUCAACAUGCCCAUCGCAGAAGCUAUUUAGGAGACAUGUAAUAGCAUCUACAGUUAUACAUUCAUAAUGUUAAUGGAAGAGCAAACCCCAAUAACAUCAGAAGUGUGAUUUGGAAGAGUACUGAAUGAUAGGUUUAAUUGAUAAACAUUUAAACACACAGAGGCACAGACGCAGACACAAUGCCCUUAUAGAUAUGCAAGCACAAAAUGGCCCUUAAUUUGAUUAGUUAAAAUGGUAAAUUUGGGAAAGAAACUUGUACAACAGCAACAAGAAAACUCCUUUAUACAAUUUAAAGGCUUUAAAAUCCUUAGAUUAGUAUCUAAAGAGAUGCAAAGAAAGCAUAAAAUGUAGUUCCAGGAAAGUAUUUAAAUUACAAUGCAUUAAAGCAGUAUUAAGCAGACACAAUUCCACUAAAUCACAAGGGAUAUAACCAAGUGAAAACAAGAAAUUGCCUACAUAAUCACACCAAAA